rnacentral:rRNA from 1 species
AAUAGAUACCCCGGUAGUCCACGCCGUAAACGAUGAGUGCUAAGUGUUAGAGGGUUUCCGCCCUUUAGUGCUGCAGCUAACGCAUUAAGCACUCCGCCUGGGGAGUACGGCCGCAAGGCUGAAACUCAAAGGAAUUGACGGGGGCCCGCACAAGCGGUGGAGCAUGUGGUUUAAUUCGAAGCAACGCGAAGAACCUUACCAGGUCUUGACAUCCUCUGACCUCCCUGGAGACAGGGCUUUCCCCUUCGGGGGACAGAGUGACAGGUGGUGCAUGGUUGUCGUCAGCUCGUGUCGUGAGAUGUUGGGUUAAGUCCCGCAACGAGCGCAACCCUUGACCUUAGUUGCCAGCAUUGAGUUGGGCACUCUAAGGUGACUGCCGGUGACAAACCGGAGGAAGGUGGGGAUGACGUCAAAUCAUCAUGCCCCUUAUGACCUGGGCUACACACGUGCUACAAUGGAUGGUACAAAGGGCUGCGAGACCGCGAGGUUAAGCCAAUCCCAGAAAACCAUUCCCGAGUUCGGAUUGCAGGCUGCAACCCG